UGCUAGUAAUCGCGGAUCAGCAUGCCGCGGUGAAUACGUUCCCGGGCCUUGUACACACCGCCCGUCACACCAUGGGAGUCGGUAACACCCGAAGCCGAUAGUCUAACGAAAGAGGACGUCGUCGAAGGUGGGAUUGAUGACUGGGGUGAAGUCGUAACAAGGUAAC
rnacentral:rRNA from 1 species